CCCGCAGGUAGGGCAGGUACCUGUGUCCAUGCAGGAGUCGUGCUGAGGGACAGAGUCUGCCAGCAGAUGCUCCUGUGCUAUGGUGGCCCAAGCCUCCAGACUGACUCUGUCGACUUUGUCCAGUGGAUGCUGCGUGUGGAGACCGUGGAGGAUGUCUUCCAAACCUUAACCCAAGAUGGCAAAGGGAUAGACCUGCAGAAGCCAAGUGGUAAGACUCCUCCUCCCUCCCCAGCAGUCAGCUCGCAACAGUUUAAGUCAAGAUGGUCAUUGAAGUCCAGGCUUUUGUGAAGAAGUCAGGUUCUGGGGACGCUUCAACUACUGGGUAGGAUAGUUAGCACUCUACUCAUUGUGCUCCUCCAUUUAUGCAAUAUUUACUAAGCACCCACUCUGUGCCAGACAUGUGUGAAGGGACAGGAGAUGAACAUAGC
rnacentral:lncRNA from 1 species